rnacentral:other from 1 species
GCUUCCCUGUGGUGCUCGAGUAUAACAUCAAUUCUUGAGCCAACAUGUAAUAAAGGGGUCGAAACUAGCUGUGGUGAGCAUGCCUCCUCGGAGGAAGCCUAAAACAGUAUACGGAGAUCCCACCUGUCCUUGGCAGGUUCAAAAAAUGAUUUUUGCACGGCAUUCGCGGGGAAGCA